CCACCCACGUGACACCCACCCUGGCUGUAGUCAUCACCUGGGUUGCUUCCUUUGACACCUCAAACGGAGCGAGGAAAUCCAUCCCGGGCAGGAAGUCUCACUAAGCCUGGAACCAAACGUGCUGCCAUGGAGGACAUUUGGCCCCCGCCUUACCUUCAGACAGGAGGAGGGGUGCUCACACCCGGAUCCCCAGCAUGAGGGGACUACCAGGAGAGGCCCAGCAUUCCGCCAUGACCAUCCUGAGCAUCCUUCUUCCAAGGGUGGAUCCCAGCCAGCAGCGGCCAACAAAACGCUACUGGGAGGACUGGGAGGACUACCAGGACACGGCCUGCACCAGGAAGAGCAUCCGGAGUCGAAGCCGAGCCUGAGAUACCACAUGUCAGGAUGCCGUGGGGACCAACCGCAUGCUGGACCGGGUCUGGAGGUCUGGGGGGCAGAACUUGGAGAAGCUGUCCACAAUGGAA